AGUGAACGCUGGCGGUAGGCCUAACACAUGCAAGUCGAACGGCAGCACAGUAAGAGCUUGCUCUUACCGGUUGCGAGUGGCGUACGGGUGAGGAAUACAUCGGACUCUACUUUUUCGUGGGGGAUAACGUAGGGAAACCUACGCUCAUACCGCAUACGACCUACGGGUGAAAGCAGGGGAUCUUCUGACCUUGCGCGAUUGAAUGAGCCGCUGUCGGAUUAGCUAGUUGGCGGGGUAAACGCCCACCAAGUCGGCGAUCGGUAGAUUGUCUGAGAGGAGGAUCAGCGACACGGGAACUGAGACACGGUCCAGAGGCCUACGGGAGGGAGCAGUGGGGAAUAUUGGACAGCGGGGGCAAGUCUGAUACAGCCAUAGGGAGUGGGUGAAGAAGGCGUUGGGGGUGUAAAGCCCUUUUGUGGGGAAAGAAAAGCAGCAGGUUAAUACCACGCGGUUCUGACGGUAAUCAAAGAAGAAGCACCGGCUAACUUCGUG
rnacentral:rRNA from 1 species